rnacentral:lncRNA from 1 species
UUCUAAGAGGUUGAGGAGGUGCCUCUUUACUGACCAUGGUGCUAUGGGCUGGCAAUUGCCACCCUCUGUUCUCCUGUGACAGGUCUGUGUUCAGCUGGGUACUACUGUGAAGGAGGAGCCACUGAUGUCAUUCCCCGAGGGACACCUGCCUUCCCACUCAAUGGGCCCUGCCCACUUGGGCACUAUUGUCCAGAGGGUACUCAUUUCCCAAUUGCCUGCCCAGCUGGGACCCUGAACAAUGCCACAGGUGGUACGUCCCCGGAGAGCUGUGUGCCAUGCCAUCCUGGGUCUUUCUGUGCUGGCACUGGUUUGAGUUCUCCAACAGGACCUUGUACUGAGGGGUUUUACUGCCCGGCAAACUUCAGCUCCAUCAGCCCCACGGCUUUCCUCUGCCCUAAGGGUCACUUCUGCCAGACAGGGGCAGCCCUCCCCAUGCCGUGCCCUGCUGGGGAAUACCAGCCGGCCAGGGGCUCUGCAUCCUGUGUUCCGUGCCAGAGAGGAUUCUACUGCCAGGAGCCAGUGGCAGGAGACCCCAAGCGCUGCCCACCACAUUCUUACUGUCCUACAGGCACAUGGGUUCCUCUCACGUGUCCUGAAGGCACCUUCACUCCUGCAAACAUGACUGGCCUCUGGAACGAGGAGGAAUGCCUGCCUUGCUUACCCGGUCACUACUGCAGGCACGGACGGCUGGAGGGGAAGUGUGCUGCUGGAUAUUUCUGCUUUGCUGGGAGCUCUCAAUCUGCUCCCCAGGGCCACAGCUUUUCCUGGCGCUUCCUCUCUGGGUGCCGCUGGGGUCAGGCUUGUGCAGGGCUGUGUCCUGCAGGUAAGUGGGAAUCUCAAUAGUUUUUCAAGUAUAGAAUAUUGAUUUGCUUCUAAGCAACUGGAGAGCAUCUUUUAUCUUGCAU